UCCCGGGGGCCGACGUUGACGGAGGGGCGCCACGGUUUGAAGUUACGUGACUUUCUGUUCGAACGCCUCAUCCGCCCGGCUUCAGCGAAGCAGUCCCGCCGGCGAAGAGGGUCUUGGCAGCAGGAUUAAGUGAGGCGGCUUUGCCAGGCAAAGGCUGUGCUGUGGACAUGGGCAGAACUGUGCUGCACAGCUAGUCAGGAGCAACACCCCUGACCUCAGGGGUACACCUCGAGAGGAAGUCUUUACACCUUUCCUGGAGGCAUUAGAAGGGUGUCCAAGAAGCAGAAGAAUCCCAGGACCAUGGCUAAUAAAACCCAGGAGGUUGGUGGUAUCCAUUUCCCUUUUCCCUUCACACCCUAUUCCAUUCAGAAAGACUUCAUGGCAGAGCUAUAUCAGGUGUUGGAGGCUGGCAAGAUUGGAAUAUUUGAGAGUCCGACUGGCACUGGAAAAUCUUUAAGUCUUAUUUGUGGGGCCCUUUCCUGGCUCCGUGACUUUGAGCAGAAGAAACAUCAAGAAGAGGCACGUCUCCUUGAAACUGGAACUGUCCCCUUAAGUGACGGGCAGGAGCAGUCCCUGUCUCUCUCAUCCUCCUGCAAAGAGACCCCAGGCACCCUGAGGCCUGUGGGAGAGCCUGACUGGGUGACUCAGUUUGUGCAGAAGAAAGAAGAAAGGGACCUGGUAGACCGACUGAAGGAGGAGCAGGUCAGGAGGAAGAAGCGAGAGGAACGCCUGCAGCAGAUCCGUCACAAUGCACAGCUCAAGUAUGCAGCCAAGCGCAUGAGACAAGAGGAAGAAGAGAUGGAGCGUGUCCUCCGCCUCAGCAGGGAGGCGCUGGCGGCAGGGGCAGCGGCCGAGCUGCCAGAGCAGCCAGCAUGUGGGGAGGAGGACCUGGUCCUCGCCGAGUAUGAGAGCGACGAGGAGAAGGGAGCGGCUGGCAGAGUGGACCAGGAUGAGGAUGGCCCGGAGGAGGAACAUGUAACUAAGAUUUACUACUGCAGUCGGACGCACUCCCAGCUGGCUCAGUUUGUGCACGAGGUACAGCAGAGCCCCUUUGGCAAGGACACCCGGCUUGUCUCCCUCGGCUCUCGGCAGAAUCUUUGUAUAAACGAAGAUGUGAAAACCCUGGGUUCUGCGCAGCUCAUCAAUGACCGCUGCAUGGAGAUGCAGAGAAGCAAACACGAGAAGAGCAAAGCUGAGGAAGAGAAGCCCAAGAGGAGAAAGCAGGAGCGCCGGGCCACCUGCCCCUUCUAUGGCUACGAGCAGCUGCAGCUCCUCCGAGACCAGGUCCUGGUGGGGGUGAAGGACAUUGAGCAGUUGGUGGCGCUGGGGAAGGAGGCUCGGGCCUGUCCCUAUUACGGGAGCCGGUCUGCCAUUCCAGCAGCCCAGCUCGUGGUGCUACCCUACCAGAUGCUGCUGCACGCGGCCACCCGCCAGGCUGCGGGCAUCCGGCUGCAGGGCCAGGUGGUGCUCAUCGAUGAGGCCCACAACCUGAUCGACACCCUCACGGGCAUCCACAGUGCGGAGGUCAGCGGUUCCCAGCUCUGCCAGGCCCAUUCCCAGUUGCUCCAGUAUAUGGAACGAUAUGGGAAGCGUCUGAAGGCCAAGAACUUGAUGUACAUCAAACAGAUCCUGUAUCUGUUGGAGAAGUUUGUGACUGUGUUGGGUGGGAACACGAAGCAAAAUCCCAACACACAGAGCCUUUUGCAGACAGGGACAGAGCUGAAGACCAUUAAUGACUUCCUCUUUGAGAGCCAGAUCGACAACAUCAACCUGUUCAAGGUGCAGCGCUACUGUGAGAGGAGCAUGGUCAGCAGGAAGCUCUUCGGCUUCACAGAAAGGUACGGCACAGUCCUCGCACCCUCCAGGGAGCAGCCCAAACUGGCUGGGUUCCAGCACUUCCUGCAGAGCCUGCAGCCCACAGUGACCCAGACCUCUGUGACCCCUGUGGAGGAGGGCGAGGCCAGGGUGCCACGGCUGGCUUCCCCACUGAUGCACAUCGAAUCCUUCCUAGCAGCCCUCACCACUGCCAACCAGGAUGGCAGGGUCAUCCUGAGCCGCCAAGGAAGCCUUAGUCAGAGUAGCCUCAAAUUCUUGCUCCUGAAUCCAGCUGUGCACUUUGCCCAGGUGGUGAAGGAAUGCCGGGCCGUGGUCAUCGCAGGGGGCACCAUGCAACCGGUGUCUGACUUUCGGGAGCAGCUGCUGGCCUGUGCUGGGGUGGAAGCUGAGCGAGUGGUGGAGUUUUCCUGUGGUCACGUGAUCCCUCCAGACAAUAUCUUACCCCUCGUCAUCUGCAGUGGGCCCUCCAGCCAGCAGCUGGAGUUCACGUACCAGAAGAGAGAGCUGCCACAGAUGAUGGAUGAGACUGGUCGCAUUCUCUGUAACCUGUGCACUGUGGUCCCUGGAGGGGUGGUCUGUUUCUUCCCCUCCUAUGAGUACCAACGCCAGGUCUAUGCCCACUGGGAUAAGAGUGGUCUGCUGGCCCGCCUGGCUGUCAAGAAAAAGAUAUUUCAGGAACCUAAGAGAGCAAACCAGGUGGAGCAGGUGCUGAUGGAGUAUUCCAGGUGCAUUAAGUACUGUGGCCAGGCGGGAGGCACGGUGACAGGUGCUCUGCUCCUCUCUGUGGUUGGAGGAAAGAUGAGUGAAGGUAUUAACUUCUCUGACAACCUCGGCCGGUGUGUGGUCAUGGUAGGCAUGCCCUACCCCAACAUCAAGUCUCCAGAGCUGCAAGAGAAGAUGGCCUACCUGGAUCAGACCCUACCCAGAGGCCCGGGUCAGCCACCACCAGGGAAGGCUUUGGUGGAGAACCUGUGUAUGAAGGCUGUCAACCAAUCUAUAGGCAGGGCCAUCAGGCACCAGAAGGAUUUUGCCAGCAUAGUGCUUCUGGAUCAGCGGUAUGCCCGCCCACCUAUCCUGGGCAAGCUGCCAGCCUGGAUCCGAGACCGUGUGGAGGUCAAAGCCACCUUCGGUCCUGCCUUUGCUGCUAUGAGGAAGUUUCAUCGUGAGAAGUCUGUCCCUUCCUGAUGGACGGCCCACCACUGCCUGGGUGCCAGGCCCUUCCUUCCCGCUGCCCACUUGAAAGGGUGAUUAGGCUGCUGUAUCGGCGGAAAACCUUAAACACAGUGCAUCUUGAGUCAGCAAAGGUCCUGACGGCUUCUCACAAAAUCCUUGGACAAGAUGGAGCUAUGGGGGUUGGAGGAGAGCACAUUUAGGAAAAAUCAGAGCCCGAUGAGCAACAGCACCCAAAGGGCACCGCUGAAGAACGGACUGAUUUCAGCCUUGCACAAAGGUCUCUGGCAAGGCCCCAUUCAGCCCACGAAACCCUGGGUUAGUAAACUGGAGAUAUUGAACGGAGGAGGGCCAAAACGGUCUGCAUGGGGAAUCAAGACUCAAAUAAUCUUGAGAGGCCAGAAGGACGGACUGCAAUCAACAAGAUGAAGUUGACAAGCGAUGAAGUCCAGCACUUAGGUGUAAAAAGUCCAGUGCACAAACACACAAGAUGGAGGGCUAGCAAGGCCUGAGGUUUUGGUUAACCAGAGCUCAGUGAGAGCUAAGAGUGUGUUAAGCAGCUUGAGAAGGAAAUGGGAUUUGGGGGCACACAGCUCCUUGUCCCUCCUCCCUUCUUUCAGUAAACAGGGGACAUCCACUCUCUUGGGGGCACUAGAGAGAAAACAGACCCCAGACUGUUGAGCUAAUCUGUGCUGGGCACCAACCUCUCCACAGCUACAUCCCCUUUAAACUGGAUCCACAUUUUAAGAGGACUCUGAAUUCCUUCUAGACUAACUAUAAGGUCUGUCUUCAUUGCUGUGUCUCUAGCACCUGGGACUGUGCCUGACAUGUAACAAAUACUGGCUGAAUGUAAAGUGACAAGUUCAAGAACGUCCAAAGGAGGGUGAUGAGGAUGGUGAGGAGGGAGCCACUCAUGUCCUACAAAGACGACUGAAGGGUGUUCUGGCUACAGGGUAGGUGACUUAGACAACAUGGUAAUUCCCUCCAUAUGUCAAAACCAUCACAAGUGCUGGCGGGUGGAAAAGCGAUUGCUACUUAUUCUGUCGCCCCAGCAGGCUGCAGGAGGACCAGUGGGUGGAGUUACAAGGAAGUAGAUCUUGGUUCUGCACAAGGAGAACUUUCUAGUAAACUUUCUUUCUAGGAGAGCUUUGCAAAUCAGAUUCCAGCAGGAUGAGCACCUGUCAGGAAUGCUCCAAGGGAGGCUGCUGUGGUGGGCAGGGGAAAGAAGACAGGAUUUCCAGGGUUAUCCAAGAGCCUACCAGCCCAGUGAUGGCCUGCUUGUUGACAAAGCCCCC